CACGUAGGGGACGAGCGUUGUCCGAAUUUAUUGGGCGUAAAGAGCUCGUAGGCGGUUCGGUAAGUCGGGUGUGAAACCUCCAGGCUCAACCUGGAGACGCCACCCGAUACUGCUGUGACUAGAGUCCGGUAGGGGAGCGUGGAAUUCCUGGUGUAGCGGUGAAAUGCGCAGAUAUCAGGAGGAACACCAGCGGCGAAGGCGGCGCUCUGGGCCGGAACUGACGCUGAGGAGCGAAAGCGUGGGGAGCAAACAGG
rnacentral:rRNA from 1 species